rnacentral:rRNA from 1 species
AGCAGCCGCGGUAAUUCCAGCUCCAAUAGCGUAUAUUAAAGUUGUUGCAGUUAAAAAGCUCGUAGUUGAAUUUCGGGAUUAGUACGUUGGUCGUGCCUUCGGCACGUACUGGUGUUACUGAUUCCUACCUUCUGACGAACCAUCAUGUCAUUAAUUUGGUGUGGCGGGGAAUCAGGACUGUUACUUUGAAAAAAUUAGAGUGCUUAAAGCAGGCUCGCGCUUGAAUACAUUAGCAUGGAAUAAUGAAAUAGGACGUUGACCCUAUUUUGUUGGUUUCUAGGAUUGACGUAAUGAUUAAUAGGGAUAGUUGGGGGCAUUAGUAUUCAAUUGUCAGAGGUGAAAUUCUUGGAUUUAUUGAAGACUAACUACUGCGAAAGCAUUUGCCAAGGAUGUUUUCAUUAAUCAAGAACGAAAGUUAGGGAUCGAAGACGAUCAGACACCGUCGUAGUCUUAACCAUAAACUAAUCGACCGACUAGGGGAUCGGAUGAUGUUAUUUUUANGUACUUNAUUCGGCUCCUU